UACGUAGGGUGCGAGCGUUGUCCGGAAUUAUUGGGCGUAAAGAGCUCGUAGGCGGUCUGUCGCGUCGGUCGUGAAAACCCGGAGCUCAACUCCGGGCCUGCAGUCGAUACGGGCAGACUGGAGUUCGGCAGGGGAGACUGGAAUUCCUGGUGUAGCGGUGAAAUGCGCAGAUAUCAGGAGGAACACCGGUGGCGAAGGCGGGUCUCUGGGCCGAUACUGACGCUGAGGAGCGAAAGCGUGGGGAGCGAACAGG
rnacentral:rRNA from 1 species